GACGAACGCUGGCGGCGUGCUUAACACAUGCAAGUCGAACGGAAAGGCCCUGCUUUUGUGGGGUGCUCGAGUGGCGAACGGGUGAGUAACACGUGAGUAACCUGCCCUUGACUUUGGGAUAACUUCAGGAAACUGGGGCUAAUACCGGAUAGGAGCUCCUGCUGCAUGGUGGGGGUUGGAAAGUUUCGGCGGUUGGGGAAGGACUCGCGGCUUAUCAGCUUGUUGGUGGGGUAGUGGCUUACCAAGGCUUUGACGGGUAGCCGGCCUGAGAGGGUGACCGGCCACAUUGGGACUGAGAUACGGCCCAGAUUCCUACGGGAGGCAGCAGUGGGGAAUAUUGCACAAUGGGCGGAAGCCUGAUGCAGCAACGCCGCGUGCGGGAUGACGGCCUUCGGGUUGUAAACCGCUUUCGCCUGUGACGAAGCGUGAGUGACGGUAAUGGGUAAAGAAGCACCGGCUAACUACGUG
rnacentral:rRNA from 1 species